rnacentral:rRNA from 1 species
UACAGAGGUCCCAAGCGUUGUUCGGAUUCACUGGGCGUAAAGGGUGCGUAGGCGGCCGGGUAAGUCUGAUGUGAAAUCCCGCAGCUUAACUGCGGAACUGCAUCGGAUACUCUCCGGCUAGAGGAAUGGAGGGGAGACUGGAAUUCUCGGUGUAGCAGUGAAAUGCGUAGAUAUCGAGAGGAACACCAGUGGCGAAGGCGGGUCUCUGGGCCGAAAUUGACGCUGAGGAGCGAAAGCGUGGGGAGCAAACAGG